GAUGACCAACUUAGCCAGGUACUUGAGCAAACUUUCCCAUAAACAUGUACUCUCCCGACUUCAAUCAAUCCGACUCAGUCUUGAGAGAUUACACAUAACGUAGGUCGGUUGUUGAGAGCAGCAUGUUCGUACAUGAGGAAUUUGAUUUAUCGGCUUCAGGUUUUGAGAGCCAACAGGUACGUACAGUUUGUGCUAAGAAUUUUUAUGGGUAAUCAAUCUUAGGAGAGAAAGGAUUGUUGGCAUUUUUAUGGGUAAUCAACCUUAUGGGAAAGAACUGAUUUUUGUCUCUACUGAACAGUAGCACUCUUAACCUAUUUGAACAGAAAAUUUCAUAAACAUAAAAGCAGUAGUGACUUGACCAUGCAAUAAGCUAAAUUGUUAUUACGGUUUCUGUUGUAACAAGUUGAAGUUAUUCAAAAAAAAGUUGAAGUUUCUGUUAGCAGCAUCAACUUGUUUUGAGAUGUCAGAAAAAACUUCAGUUCAAGAUGUAGGAACAAUCAGCCAGCUUAACUGUCAGCCUAAAACUAUUCUCUGUUGCAUUUCAGUUAUGUCAAGCUAUUAUAAUUCACUCAGCAUGUGCAUUCAUGCAUUCCACUAAUUUGCACAUUGAAUUGCAAAUGUAAUUAAAGGAGGUAGGGUAUGGAGGGUGCUUGACAGGGAGGCGUGCAUCCGCUUCUUUGGGUGGGACGC
rnacentral:lncRNA from 1 species